rnacentral:lncRNA from 1 species
ACAAUAACUAAAGCAUAGAAGGAAGGCUAAAAUAAGAAUUCAGAAACUAUAAACCGGCUCUCUUCUAGCUUACGACACAAACUAUGAGUGAGAAAAGGACAAAUGAUUCGCUCUUUGCUUCAUUUUUUCCGAGGUUGUCACAACAUGAAAUGUCAUUUGGACCUAUUGGACUCAUUUUAACUCGGCCAAAUACAUAGUAACAUACAUAAGAAGAUUUUACUUAUAUUUACCGAACUAUUUGACACGGUCGCGUCAACUGUGUUUACGAGUGUCUUGUGUUCAGAUUGUUUUAAGUGAUAAUUUAACAAUAUUUUUCCAAAUAAAUGGAAAGAAACUUUUAUUUAUAUCAAAUAAUUGAGUGUCUCGACUGUGUGACAUUAUGUCUUGUGUGGUAUGGGGCUGCAGCUCACAUUCAGGAAGAAAAGAAAAUAGCCAACAACUUCUGUCGUUUCAUCGAUAUUAAAUCCAAAAGUGUCGACUGGAUUUACAUGAAAAGUCAGUUCAAGAAGACGAGAUGAAAAAUUUAAAAGAAAAGCUGAACAAGUCCCGCCUCAAGAUCAAACGACUUAAUGAAAAAAAAAAAACAAUGUGACAGGGUGUCACAAAGACAGUUUCUAAGCAAAUUGACACUGUUUAGAAAUUAAUAAAUUUGUAUUUAUUGUAAAUAUAAUGUACAUAAUUAAUAACGUGUGAAAUAAAUACUUGCUAAUGAACAGAUUUACGAUCUAAUUUAUAUUUCAUUUUACCUCCUGUUCUUAUUUACUCCUACUCCAACACUCCAGGUUGAUACGAACUGCGCCCAAUAAAGAAUGUAAUGAAUGUUAUAGAUUUGUGUAAGCGACUUAGAUAAAUCUUGACUAAACCUUCCUUUACAAAUACAAAUAUACUUUAUUGCACACAACAUACAAUACUUACAAGUUUUACACGAAAGAUACAGUACACCACCUACCUACCUUUUACUUUCCCUUUCUGUUCUCUUAUGAAUACUUGUAUGCCGUAUUUUUUUAAGUAUAAUGCUAUAUCUAGUAGGUACGAGUAUGGUAAUCCUAGUAUUGAAACAGCUUGUAGCCCUAGUAAAGACCGCCAUUUUAUGUUUACAGAGUGGCACGUUUUUUCUGUAGGUAUUUCCAGUCCAUACUCUUUUCUAUGUCUAUGGCGUGACCCCAUCGGGCCUCUUACCGUCUGUGCGGCUUAGACCCGGCGGCGGCGGUUCCAAUUUGCACGGCACGUCGAUCGACACCAGUGC